rnacentral:rRNA from 1 species
UACGUAGGAUGCGAGCGUUAUCCGGAUUUAUUGGGUUUAAAGGGUGCGUAGGCGGGAUGCCAAGUCAGCGGUAAAAAUGCGGUGCUCAACGCCGUCGAGCCGUUGAAACUGGCGUUCUUGAGUGGGCGAGAAGUACGCGGAAUGCGUGGUGUAGCGGUGAAAUGCAUAGAUAUCACGCAGAACUCCGAUUGCGAAGGCAGCAUACCGGCGCCCUACUGACGCUGAGGCACGAAAGCGUGGGUAUCGAACAGG